rnacentral:lncRNA from 1 species
ACUGCCUUAGCUACAUUCCUUCUACUGCGAAAAGGAAUAAAAUUGGUUUCAAACGAAUGUAUGAAAACUAUUUUGCAAUAUCUACAUACACACACAGCACAGUACAGUACAUUACACUUAUGGAUGACAUUUUUUAUAACAAAAAAAAAAACAACUACAUUUAUUAUAAUGAUUUAUCUACCACAGCAUUGGAGACUUUGGUCCCAAGGGCGAUUAUUUGGCAAUAACUGGAAAUAGCUUUCAGUUGAAAAUUCAACAUUUUAAACCUAUUCAACUCCUUAUUCGUCUGAACAUAAUAUAUUUAGG